rnacentral:rRNA from 1 species
UAUCCAGACUCCUACGGGAGGCAGCAGUGAGGAAUAUUGGUCAAUGGGCGGGAGCCUGAACCAGCCAAGUCGCGUGAGGGAUGACGGCCCUAUGGGUUGUAAACCUCUUUUGCCGGGGAGCAAAGUGCCGCACGUGUGCGGUUUGGAGAGUACCCGGAGAAAAAGCAUCGGCUAACUCCGUGCCAGCAGCCGCGGUAAUACGGAGGAUGCGAGCGUUAUCCGGAUUUAUUGGGUUUAAAGGGUGCGUAGGCGGCAGCGCAAGUCUGAAGUGAAAUCCCAUGGCUUAACCAUGGAACUGCUUUGGAAACUGUGCAGCUGGAGUGCAGGAGAGGUAAGCGGAAUUCCUAGUGUAGCGGUGAAAUGCGUAGAUAUUAGGAGGAACACCAGUGGCGAAGGCGGCUUACUGGACUGUAACUGACGUUGAGGCUCGAAAGCGUGGGGAGCAAACAGGAUUAGAUACCCGUGUAAG